GCUGGUGGAGAGGUAUGGCUUGCAGUGAAGACUGUGGCAGAUCUCCACAGAGAGACUUCCUGUGUGACCUUGAACAAGUCACUCGGUCUGUCGGUGCCCCAGUUCCUCAUCUGUACAACUGGGAUGAUGGCACUGCCCUGCUACAAAGCAUUGUUGUGAAGGUAAAUACACUAAACAUGCUGAGAUGUUAGGCAGGACCUGCUGGAAUAAAAACCUUUAAUAAUUA